AAGUCGAGCGGAUGAAGGGAGCUUGCUCCUGGAUUCAGCGGCGGACGGGUGAGUAAUGCCUAGGAAUCUGCCUGGUAGUGGGGGAUAACGUCCGGAAACGGGCGCUAAUACCGCAUACGUCCUGAGGGAGAAAGUGGGGGAUCUUCGGACCUCACGCUAUCAGAUGAGCCUAGGUCGGAUUAGCUAGUUGGUGGGGUAAAGGCCUACCAAGGCGACGAUCCGUAACUGGUCUGAGAGGAUGAUCAGUCACACUGGAACUGAGACACGGUCCAGACUCCUACGGGAGGCAGCAGUGGGGAAUAUUGGACAAUGGGCGAAAGCCUGAUCCAGCCAUGCCGCGUGUGUGAAGAAGGUCUUCGGAUUGUAAAGCACUUUAAGUUGGGAGGAAGGGCAGUAAGUUAAUACCUUGCUGUUUUGACGUUACCAACAGAAUAAGCACCGGCUAACUUCGUGCCAGCAGCCGCGGUAAUACGAAGGGUGCAAGCGUUAAUCGGAAUUACUGGGCGUAAAGCGCGCGUAGGUGGUUCAGCAAGUUGGAUGUGAAAUCCCCGGGCUCAACCUGGGAACUGCAUCCAAAACUACUGAGCUAGAGUACGGUAGAGGGUGGUGGAAUUUCCUGUGUAGCGGUGAAAUGCGUAGAUAUAGGAAGGAACACCAGUGGCGAAGGCGACCACCUGGACUGAUACUGACA
rnacentral:rRNA from 1 species